ACAGUCGGACGGUUUGUCGCUGAGCGUUUCCUUCGGGAAAUGAAAAGAGGAAAGUCCGGGCAACACAGAGCAUCAUAUUUCCUAACGGGAAGCUGUUCGCGAGGGCAGAGUAAGGUAACAGAAAAUAACCGCCACGGCUUGCCGGGGUAAGGGUGAAAAGGUGAGGUAAGAGCUCACCGGUCUCCGUAGCAAUACGGAGAGCCGUACUACUUAUGAGUUGCAAGACCAUGUAUACCGACGCAUGUAGGGCUGCUCGCCCGAUGUCGGGGGGUAGGUCGCUAGAGCCUGCCGGCGACGGCAGGUGUAGAUAAAUGACAAGCACUUUGUUUCGAUACAAAGCACAGAACCCGGCUUACAGACCGACUGUAAUU
rnacentral:RNase_P_RNA from 1 species